rnacentral:rRNA from 1 species
AUUGAACGCUGGCGGCAGGCCUAACACAUGCAAGUCGAGCGGCAGCGGGAAGUAGCUUGCUACUUUGCCGGCGAGCGGCGGACGGGUGAGUAAUGUCUGGGAAACUGCCUGAUGGAGGGGGAUAACUACUGGAAACGGUAGCUAAUACCGCAUAAUGUCGCAAGACCAAAGAGGGGGACCUUCGGGCCUCUUGCCAUCAGAUGUGCCCAGAUGGGAUUAGCUAGUAGGUGGGGUAACGGCUCACCUAGGCGACGAUCCCUAGCUGGUCUGAGAGGAUGACCAGCCACACUGGAACUGAGACACGGUCCAGACUCCUACGGGAGUCAGCAGUGGGGAAUAUUGCACAAUGGGCGAAAGCCUGAUGCAGCCAUGCCGCGUGUAUGAAGAAGGCCUUCGGGUUGUAAAGUACUUUCAGCGGGGAGGAAGGUGUUGAGGUUAAUAACCUCAGCAAUUGACGUUACCCGCAGAAGAAGCACCGGCUAACUCCGUGCCAGCAGCCGCCGUAAGAC